GGCCUCGUGGUCCAGUGGUUAGGAUACUUGCCCGGAGAGCGAGAGGCGUGGGGUUCGAAUCCCACCGAGGCACA